UACGAAGGGAGCUAGCGUUGUUCGGAAUCACUGGGCGUAAAGGGCUCGUAGGUGGCCAACUAAGUCAGACGUGAAAUCCCUCGGCUUAACCGGGGAACUGCGUCUGAUACUGGAUGGCUUGAGGUUGGGAGAGGGACGCGGAAUUCCAGGUGUAGCGGUGAAAUGCGUAGAUAUCUGGAGGAACACCGGUGGCGAAGGCGGCGUCCUGGACCAAUUCUGACACUGAGGAGCGAAAGCCAGGGGAGCAAACGGG
rnacentral:rRNA from 1 species